UACGGAGGGGGCUAGCGUUGUUCGGAAUUACUGGGCGUAAAGCGCACGUAGGCGGCUAUUCAAGUCAGAGGUGAAAGCCCGGGGCUCAACCCCGGAAUUGCCUUUGAAACUAGAUAGCUAGAAUCACGGAGAGGUAAGUGGAAUUCCGAGUGUGGAGGUGAAAUUCGUAGAUAUUCGGAAGAACACCAGUGGCGAAGGCGGCUUACUGGACGUGAAUUGACGCUGAGGUGCGAAAGCGUGGGGAGCAAACAGG
rnacentral:rRNA from 1 species